GAGGAGCUUGCUUCUUGGGUGGCGAGUGGCGUACGGGUGAGUAACGCAUCGGAACGUACCGAGUAAUGGGGGAUAACUGUCCGAAAGGACAGCUAAUACCGCAUACGCCCUGAGGGGGAAAGCGGGGGAUCUUAGGACCUCGCGUUAUUCGAGCGGCCGAUGUCUGAUUAGCUGGUUGGCGGGGUAAAGGCCCACCAAGGCGACGAUCAGUAGCGGGUCUGAGAGGAUGAUCCGCCACACUGGGACUGAGACACGGCCCAGACUCCUACGGGAGGCAGCAGUGGGGAAUUUUGGACAAUGGGCGCAAGCCUGAUCCAGCCAUGCCGCGUGUCUGAAGAAGGCCUUCGGGUUGUAAAGGACUUUUGUCAGGGAAGAAAAGGGGCAUGUUAAUACCGUGCUCUGAUGACUGUACCUGAAGAAUAAGCACC
rnacentral:rRNA from 1 species